rnacentral:rRNA from 1 species
AUUGAACGCUGGCGGCAUGCUUUACACAUGCAAGUCGGACGGCAGCACAGAGAAGCUUGCUUCUUGGGUGGCGAGUGGCGAACGGGUGAGUAACAUAUCGGAACGUACCGAGCAGUGGGGGAUAACUAAUCGAAAGAUUAGCUAAUACCGCAUAUUUUCUGAGGAAGAAAGCAGGGGACCAUUUGGCCUUGCGCUGUUUGAGCGGCCGAUAUCUGAUUAGCUAGUUGGUGGGGUAAAGGCCUACCAAGGCGACGAUCAGUAGCGGGUCUGAGAGGAUGAUCCGCCACACUGGGACUGAGACACGGCCCAGACUCCUACGGGAGGCAGCAGUGGGGAAUUUUGGACAAUGGGCGCAAGCCUGAUCCAGCCAUGCCGCGUGUCUGAAAAAGGCCUUCGGGUUGUAAAGGACUUUUGUCAGGGAAGAAAAGGGCGGGGUUAAUACCCCUGUUUG